CAACGACGAUGCCGACGACGACAAUGACGACGCUGACGUUGGCGCUGGGCUCUGCCCGGCAGGCGAGUGCCUGCUGAAAGUCGUCGGAGCGUUGCGGCCAAGCAGUCUCAAAGCGUACGCCGUUAACAACAGACACAGCGGACAUAUUCAUUCACGCAGACGGACGGGGUGUGUUGGCGUCGUGCGUGGCGCAGUUCUUGAAAGUUAUCAAAUUCCCGUUGCGUUUACCGUUACAGUGCAAAUGUAAAACAAAGCAACCAAUAAAAAAAGCGGCCACUAGGUCAAACCACAACAGAAAAGUAGAAAAAAGAAAGUCAAAUAAAUUAAACUAAACAAAGUGCAGUGGAGUGCCAACGCCAGCAGGCCAGGAUUUGCCUUUGAAAGUGCUGAAAAAGUCGCGUUCUAACGAUAAACGGUAGACGGUACGCGAUUUGCCGGCCAACAGCGAGCACGUCGUAAAUUUGCGACAAACUUGCUUCGUUAAUGCAUUUAGCACGUGAAUUCCAAGCCCGCAAAUUGAGCUAACCACGCUGCGACAACAACAACAACAACAACAGCAACGACAAGAUGGAACAUGUGUAAAUGCUAACGAGCGUGUAAGUGCAGCCAGUGUUGGUGAGGGGCAGCAGCAAACGUUGACAAGUGUAACGCAAUUUGAUUGAUUUUGAUUGACAUGGCACUCAGCAGCUGUGGCCACCCAGAAGCAGUCAAGUGAAAUACAAGUGGAAAACAGCAAAACGAAAAGAAAACUAAAAAAAAAGAUAUACCAUAUAUCUGAGCAGAGUUUUUUAGGUUUACGAAAAGAUCUGCAGCAGUAAAAACUGAAAUACUUUCAAUUAAAAUCAAACACAGUCAAACACAUCGACGAAGAGAAUUCCUGAGUGCGAAAAACAAAAACCAAUAAAAUCCAAGCUCAUAUAAAAAGGAAGAUUGCAAUAAUAAAAGAUAUAUACUAUAUACAUAUAUAUAAAAAGUUGGGCGCCGGCUAAUCAACUGCUGCGCACAACAAAAGCGUCCAGCGAAGCAACUUUUUCUUCUGAGUUUUUCCGUUUUCCCUUUUUUGCGGCGGCUGUCGCUCACUUUUUUUUUGUCCAUUGCCUGCCAUCAUUUUCCGCAUGUGCUGUGCAGUGUGUGGGUGUGUGUGAGUGUGUGUGUGUGUGGGUGACUGUGUGGGUGCUGCCACAUAAAAAGGAUAUAAUAUUGCCGCAUUGAUUUUCUCCCAUCGCAAAUGUGACAUCAACAAAGCGGUUCAACAGCAGCAGCAGCAACAACAACAACAACAACUUUAACAACAACUUUAACGACAACUCUAACAACCACAUCGUCUAAAAGUUCAGAGCGCAUCGAAAGUUUUGGACACUCAUUUUGCUGGUCUCCGGGUUACAGAGGACGACUAAGCCGAGUCUGAUUAAACCGAUAAAGCUCUUGUUGAUUCAAACUACAACAGAAUUUAAGAG